rnacentral:rRNA from 1 species
UACGGGGGGGGGCAAGCGUUUGUUCGGAAUUACUGGGCGUAAAGGGCUCGUAGGUGGCCAACUAAGUCAGACGUGAAAUCCCUCGGCUUAACCGGGGAACUGCGUCUGAUACUGGAGGGCUUGAGUGCAGGAGAGGGAUGUGGAAUUCCAGGUGUAGCGGUGAAAUGCGUAGAUAUCUGGAGGAACACCGGUGGCGAAGGCGGCAUCCUGGACCGACACUGACGCUGAGGCGCGAAAGCUAGGGUAGCAAACGGG